UACGACGGUCCCAAGCGUUAUCCGGAUUUAUUGGGUUUAAAGGGUGCGUAGGCGGCUUAUUAAGUCAGUGGUGAAAGCCCCAAGCUUAACUUGGGAAUUGCCAUUGAUACUGAUGAGCUUGAGUAGAUUUGAGGCGGGCGGAAUGUGUCGUGUAGCGGUGAAAUGCUUAGAUAUGACACAGAACACCGAUUGCGUAGGCAGCUCGCUAAACUCUUACUGACGCUGAGGCACGAAAGCAUGGGGAUCAAACAGG
rnacentral:rRNA from 1 species